AGGGACUUAGGAUAACACAAGACCGAGGGCCUUCAAAGCCCUAAGCGGAAGUUCAAAUCUUCCAGCCCCUG
rnacentral:tRNA from 1 species